rnacentral:rRNA from 1 species
UAAGUAUACCGGAAGGUGUGCUUGGAAACAAGAUAUAGUUUACACCAAAACCCCUUGCUUACACCAAGAAAACACCUGUUAAACCCAGGUUAUCUCGAACCCAACUUUUAGCCCUAAUAUACCUUAUACCCCUUCCACUACACAUCCAAACAUAUUAAAACAUUUUACCUCCUUAGUAAAGGCGAUUGAAAAACUUCUUUAGAGCUAUAAACAGUACCGCAAGGGAAUAAUGAAAUAGAAAUGAAAUAACACCAAAGUAAAUCAAAGUAGAGACCUACCCUCGUACCUUUUGCAUCAUGAUUUAGCAAGUCCAAACAAGCAAAAAGAAUUACAGUUUGACCCCCCGAAACUAAGUGAGCUACUCCGAGGCAACUUAAAGAGUCAACCCGUCUCUGUAGCAAAAGAGUGGGAAGACCUCCGAGUAGAGGUGAUAAACCUAACGAACUUAGUGAUAGCUGGUUGCUCGAGAAAGGGAUGUUAGUCCAACCUUAAACUCACUUAACAAAACUUAGUAAAACUCCUGUUUAAGAGUCAGUCAAAUAAGGUACAGCUUAUUUGACACAGAAUACAACCUAAACCCCUGGGUAAUGAAUUAGCCUGUGAAUAAGUAGGCCCAAAAGCAGCCACCUUGAGCAAAAGCGUCAAAGCUUUCACACCACAACCCCUCAAUCCCUCUCACCCCCCAGAACCCUCAUACACCAUUGAGCGAUUCAAUAGAUUUAUUGAAGACACUAUGCUAAAAUCAGUAACACGAGAACUCCCCUCUCUUUAGUGCAAGUGUAAAUCAAAACGGAAAACCCACCGAUAAUCAACGCCCAUGAGACUAAGACAGCAACCUUUCUAGAAAACCCUGCCUCUACCAACGUUAACCUAACACAAGAGCACUCAAAGAAAGAUUAAAAGAAGCGGAAGGAACUCGGCAAAUAUCAACCCCGCCUGUUUACCAAAAACAUCGCCUCUUGUUAGCAAUAAGAGGUCUAGCCUGCCCAGUGACCCUGUUCAACGGCCGCGGUAUCCUGACCGUGCGAAGGUAGCGUAAUCACUUGUUCUUUAAAUAAGGACUAGUAUGAAUGGCAUCACGAGGGUUGCACUGUCUCCCGCCUCCAAUCAGUGAAAUUAAUCUUCCCGUGAAGAAGCGGGAAUACCCCUAUAAGACGAGAAGACCCCAUGGAGCUUUAAACAAAUGGCACCUGUUAACUAAGUUAAACACUCUGACCCCUAGUUUUCGGUUGGGGCGACCACGGAGAAUAACCUACCCUCCAUGCUGAAUGACCAUGUCUAAGCCAAAAACCACCACUUUAAGCAUCAGCACCCUGACACCCAUUGACCCAAUCCAAUUGAUCAACGAACCAAUGUUACCCUGGGGAUAACAGCGCAAUCUACUUCAAGAGCCCUUAUCGACAAGUGGGUUUACGACCUCGAUGUUGGAUCAGGGUGCCCCAGUGGUGCAGCCGCUACUAAAGGUUCGUUUGUUCAACGAUUAAAACCCU